rnacentral:rRNA from 1 species
GAUGAACGCUGGCGGCGUGCUUAACACAUGCAAGUCGAACGGAAAGGCUCCUGCUUGCAGGGGCACUCGAGUGGCGAACGGGUGAGUAACACGUGGGUGAUCUGCCCUGCACUUCGGGAUAAGCCUGGGAAACUGGGUCUAAUACCGGAUAGGACCAUCGUUUAGUGUCGGUGGUGGAAAGUUUUUUCGGUGUGGGAUGAGCUCGCGGACUAUCAGCUUGUUGGUGGGGUAAUGGCCUACCAAGGCGUCGACGGGUAGCCGGCCUGAGAGGGUGUACGGCCACAUUGGGACUGAGAUACGGCCCAGACUCCUACGGGAGGCAGCAGUGGGGAAUAUUGCACAAUGGGCGCAAGCCUGAUGCAGCGACGCCGCGUGGGGGAUGACGGCCUUCGGGUUGUAAACUCCUUUCGCCAGGGACGAAGCGAAAGUGACGGUACCUGGAUAAGAAGCACCGGCUAACUACGUG